rnacentral:tRNA from 1 species
GAGGUCUUAGCUUAAAGAUUAAAGUGGCUGGAUUGCAGUCAGUUGAUGUGCGUGUCGUGCACAGGCCUU